AUUUUGCAUCAGUGAAUAAAGGCCUGGACAGAGAUCGAGUCAGAAGUUGUGCCGGUUCUUAUGGUGCAGUGCCAAGUCCAUUUCCUGUGGAUUAAGUCCUAAAUCCUCCUAGUUUAAAAACAAAAAUCUGUUCUCUUGGCACUGGAGGGCUGAAGGUUCUUGAGAUUCUGGUCCAGUCUCUGCACACUCCUGGUUCGAAUCAGUAGGAGCUUGCUGGUUUGAUUUUACAGAGGUAUAAAAUGUGGGUAACAGGAAAAGUUGUGACUGUGGUCCGUUUCUGUCCUCAUGUACUUAGUGCUUCUUCUGAAGCAGAGUCUGUGCUAAAGGCAUUACCUACUGUCUUCUUUCAGGUUAACUGGAGAGGCAGCAAUCUCACUUCACCGAUGGGGAAACUGAGACUUAGCAACUUACCCAAGAUUGGGAAAUGGCCACUGGAGAGGUUACACAUUUCCUUCAAGGUCAAGGACUGGGACCAGAGGAACAGCACCAUAUCCAAGGAUGUAAACAGUGAAAAAUAUAGGGCAGGAGGUUUUUUAAUUCAUUCCUCAAAAAUAUUUAUUGAGCAAGAAUUCUGUCACAAGCACUGUGAUGUUUGUUGGCAACACAGCAGAAAUAAGGACCAUCAAAUAUCUUACAACUCUAUUUGCAAUAUCUAAGACAUGAAAGCAAACUGAAUGUCCAUUGACAGAGGAUGGAUAAAGAAGAUGUGGUACAUAUACACAAAGGAAGAUUACUCGGCCAUAAAAAGGAAUGAAAUAAUGCCACUUGCAGCAACAUGGAUGGACCUAGAGAUUAUCAUACUAAGUGAAAUAAGUCAGAAAGAGAAAGACAAAUACCAUAUGAUAUGACUUAUAUAUAUGUGUAGUCUAAAAUAUGACACAAAUGAACUUAUUUAUAAAACAGAGAUAGACUCACAGACAUAGAAAACAAACUUACAGUUACCAAAGGGAAAGUAAAAGAAGGUGGGGAGAUAAAUUUGGAGAUUGGGAUUAGCAGAUACCAAAUAUAUAUAUAAAAUAGAUGAACAAAUCCCACUGUAUAACACAGUAAAUUACAUUCAAUAUCUUGUAAUAAACCAUAAUGGAAAAGAAAAAAAAAUAAAACA
rnacentral:lncRNA from 1 species